ACAGUCUUUAUCCAAAAGAUAUUGAUAUCAAGAAACCAACAGUUCCAUCGAAACCUGCCAAAAAUAUUCCCAAAAUCUCUACUCCAAAAGGCUCUCAAAAGCCUAUCUCCGUUGAUGCUGGUGAUUUUGGUAUCAACAGCCCUUAUCCAAAAGAAAUUGAUAUUAAGAAACCAACAGUUCCAUCGAAACCUGCCAAAAAUAUUCCCAAAAUCUCUAAUCCAAAAGGCUCCCAAAAGCCUAUCUCCGUUGAUCCU